AGGGAAUGGCAAUUCACUCCAGAUUCUUGCCUGGAGCAUCCCAUGGACAGAGGAGCCUGGCGGGCCACAGUCCAUGGGAUCACAAAGAGUCGGACACGACUGAGAGACUAACACUGCUACUACCCCUCCAUCCCAGUCCUAGGGUUCUCCCAGGUCUCUUGCUGACUGCUCUUCUCUAAAGGCCCCCUCCAGGGAACAUCUAGAGAACAUCCAGGGACACAGCAGCAGUGACAUACACAGGAAUGCCAGCAAUAAUGUUGUUUUGGAACUUUGUCUACAAAAUCUUCUCCAAACUGUUUCUGGGAAAGAAGGUGAUGGUAAGAGUUGCUCACCCUGAUGUGAACUGUGGCAACCAGUAUAGAGGGGUCUGUUGGCUGGAGGAGGAGCCCCCCAAGCCUCAUCAGUGUUGGGAGUGUCCUGAGUCUUGGCCCAUGUGGGACUGAGCUUCAGACCAAGACUUUGGGAGCAGGCGUGGUUAGAAGAUACAAAGCUGCCUGGAGCUAGAGUGAAGCUACCAGUAGAAGAACCAGGGAAGGAAGCAAGCAGAGUGAUGGCAGUGUGGCGAAGGCUGCAGAAGUAGAACCAGAGAGAGAUGCUCAUGCAGGAGUAAAUCUGGGAGAGCACUGGCAUUACUGUUUGCAAUUCUUUUAAAUUAUUUUGAGAGAUACUUUUUUUAACCUUUAAGAAUCAGUGUAGUUACAUUUAUAAUACUUUCUGUAUCAGUUUUUAGGUGUUAGAAACUGGCAAGAAGCCUGAGAGGAGGCUUAAUUCUGGAAAACAUAUCUUUUACAACAGUGUCAAUAUGAAAAACAUUUUUACAAGUGAAUUUUGGCUCUCAGGCACUGAUAAACUGAGGCAUUCGAGUGUAUGAUAUGGCCACCAUCUUCAAAUGAAAAAGCAAGCACUUGCUGUCCUUUGAAAUACCUGCUGCAUCUAUGCUGUUAUGUGUGCAUGAGUUAACCUGUUUUUAUGGUUGUAUUUUUUGUGUUGAAUAUCUAUUUUGAAUCUGCAUAAUUAUAUUUUGAUUAUUCAUAAGUUCUCACUUUAUGUAACAAAUGCAUGUUGACAAUAAACUGUAAAUAAAAA